rnacentral:rRNA from 1 species
GCGUGAGAAUCUGCCUUCAGGUCUGGGACAACAGAAGGAAACUUCUGCUAAUCCGGGAUGAGCCUAAUGGUAAAAGAGAAAUNUGCCUGGAGAUGAGCUCGCGUCUGAUUAGCUAGUUGGUGUGGUAAAAGCAUACCAAGGCAACGAUCAGUAGCUGGUCUGAGAGGAUGAGCAGCCACACUGGGACUGAGACACGGCCCAGACUCCUACGGGAGGCAGCAGUGGGGAAUUUUCCGCAAUGGGCGAAAGCCUGACGGAGCAAGACCGCGUGGGGGAGGANAGGCUCUAGGGUUGUAAACCCCUUUUCUUUGGGAAGAAGAAAGUGACGGUACCAAAGGAAUCAGCCUCGGCUAACUCCGUGCCAGCAGCCGCGGUAAUACGGAGGAGGCAAGCGUUAUCCGGAAUGAUUGGGCGUAAAGCGUCCGCAGGUGGCCAUGUAAGUCUGCUGUCAAAACCCAGGGCUCAACUCUGGUCAGGCAGUGGAAACUACAAAGCUAGAGUCUGGUAGGGGCAAAGGGAAUUCCCGGCGUAGCGGUGAAAUGCGUAGAUUUCGGGAAGAACAUCGGUGGCGAAAGCGCUUUGCUAGACCAGAACUGACACUCAGGGACGAAAGCUAGGGGAGCGAAUGGGA